UUGGAGUUGCCUCAUGCGACGACGGGUAGCCGGCCUGAGAGGGCGACCGGCCACACUGGGACUGAGACACGGCCCAGACUCCUACGGGAGGCAGCAGUGGGGAAUAUUGCACAAUGGGCGAAAGCCUGAUGCAGCGACGCCGCGUGAGGGAUGACGGCCUUCGGGUUGUAAACCUCUUUCAGCAGGGAAGAAGCGAGAGUGACGGUACCUGCAGAAGAAGCGCCGGCUAACUACGUGCCAGCAGCCGCGGUAAUACGUAGGGCGCAAGCGUUGUCCGGAAUUAUUGGGCGUAAAGAGCUCGUAGGCGGCUUGUCACGUCGGAUGUGAAAGCCCGGGGCUUAACCCCGGGUCUGCAUUCGAUACGGGCUAGCUAGAGUGUGGUAGGGGAGAUCGGAAUUCCUGGUGUAGCGGUGAAAUGCGCAGAUAUCAGGAGGAACACCGGUGGCGAAGGCGGAUCUCUGGGCCAUUACUGACGCUGAGGAGCGAAAGCGUGGGGAGCGAACAGGAUUAGAUACCCUGGUAGUCCACGCCGUAAACGUUGGGAACUAGGUGUUGGCGACAUUCCACGUCGUCGGUGCCGCAGCUAACGCAUUAAGUUCCCCGCUGGGAGAAAAUACCGGGA
rnacentral:rRNA from 1 species